AGCGGGGUAGAGCAGCCUGGAGUGCUCGUGAGGCUCAUAACCUCAAGGUCGUAGGUUCAAAUCCUACCCCCGCUA
rnacentral:tRNA from 1 species